UACGUAGGGGGGCAAGCGUUGUCCGGAAUCAUUGGGCGUAAAGAGCGUGUAGGCGGCCCGGUAAGUCCGCUGUGAAAGUCCAGGGCUCAACCCUGGGAUGCCGGUGGAUACUGUCGGGCUCGAGUCCGGAAGAGGAGUGUGGAAUUCCUGGUGUAGCGGUGAAAUGGCGCAGAUAUCAGGAGGAACACCAAUGGCGAAGGCAGCACUCUGGGACGUGACUGACGCUGAGACGCGAAAGCGUGGGGAGGCAAACAGGAUUAGAAACC
rnacentral:rRNA from 1 species